UAUUAAAAAUUUCAUCUAUAUUUAUUAUUAAAAACUGGUGUAGCUGACGAGAUAACUAGAUAGUGACACGUGUGCCAUGUGUACCUCAUGUUAACGUAUAAGGACUAAUUUUUAACAGUAGAAAUGAAUAAAAUUUUCAACA
rfam:Gossypium hirsutum cultivar TM-1 unplaced genomic scaffold scaffold2540.1, whole genome shotgun sequence